rnacentral:rRNA from 1 species
CGCGCGAUACAGGGUGACAGCCCCGUACACAAAAGCGCAUGUGCUGUGAGCUCGAUGAGUAGGGCGGGACACGUGGUAUCCUGUCUGAAUAUGGGGGGACCAUCCUCCAAGGCUAAAUACUCCUGACUGACCGAUAGUGAACCAGUACCGUGAGGGAAAGGCGAAAAGAACCCCGGCGAGGGGAGUGAAAAAGAACCUGAAACCGUGUACGUACAAGCAGUGGGAGCACAGGUUUACCUGUGUGACUGCGUACCUUUUGUAUAAUGGGUCAGCGACUUAUAUUCUGUAGCAAGGUUAACCGAAUAGGGGAGCCGGAGGGAAACCGAGUCUUAAUUGGGCGUUAAGUUGCAGGGUAUAGACCCGAAACCCGGUGAUCUAGCCAUGGGCAGGUUGAAGGUUGGGUAACACUAACUGGAGGACCGAACCGACUAAUGUUGAAAAAUUAGCGGAUGACCUGUGGCUGGGGGUGAAAGGCCAAUCAAACCGGGAGAUAGCUGGUUCUCCCCGAAAGCUAUUUAGGUAGCGCCUCGUGAAUUCAUCUCCGGGGGUAGAGCACUGUUUCGGCUAGGGGGCCAUCCCGGCUUACCAACCCGAUGCAAACUGCGAAUACCGGAGAAUGUUAUCACGGGAGACACACGGCGGGUGCUAACGUCCGUCGUGAAGAGGGAAACAACCCAGACCGCCAGCUAAGGUCCCAAAGUCAUGGUUAAGUGGGAAACGAUGUGGGAAGGCCCAGACAGCCAGGAUGUUGGCUUAGAAGCAGCCAUCAUUUAAAGAAAGCGUAAUAGCUCACUGGUCGAGUCGGCCUGCGCGGAAGAUGUAACGGGGCUAAACCAU